GAGUUUGAUCCUGGCUCAGAGUGAACGUUGGCGGCGUGGAUUAGGCAUGCAAGUCGAACGCGAAAGUUCCUUCGGGAAUUAGUAGCGUGGCGAAAGGGGCAGUAAGGCAUAGGUAACCUACCCUUCGGACCGGGAUAUACGGUGGAAACGCCGGGCAAUACUGGACAUCGUCCCUGGAUGGCAUCAUCCGGUGAUGAAAUGGUCAGCCGCCGAAGGAGGGGCUUAUGUGCUACCAGCUAGUUGGUGAGGUAAUGGCUCACCAAGGCUACGACGGCUAGGGGGUGUGAGAGCACGAUCCCCGCCACUGGGACUGAGAACUGCCCAGACUCCUACGGGAGGCUGCAGUCGAGAAUCUUCGGCAAUGGGGGCAACCCUGACCGAGCGACGCCGCGUGGUGGAUGAAGGCCUUCGGGUUGUAAACACCUGUUGGGGGGGAACAAUUUUGAGUGAACCCCUGAGGAAGCACGGGCUAAGUUCGUGCCAGCAGCCGCGGUAAGACGAACCGUGCAAACGUUACUCGGAAUCACUGGGCUUAAAGCGUACGUAGGCGGCGUCAUUA
rnacentral:rRNA from 1 species